rnacentral:rRNA from 1 species
GAUGAACGCUGGCGGCGUGCCUAAUACAUGCAAGUCGAGCGAACAGAUGAGGAGCUUGCUCCUCUGACGUUAGCGGCGGACGGGUGAGUAACACGUGUAUAACCUACCUAUAAGACUGGUAUAACUUCGGGAAACCGGAGCUAAUACCGUAUAAUAUAUUGAACCGUAUGGUUCAAUAGUGAAAGACGGUGUUGCUGUCACUUAUAGAUGGAUCCGCGCCGCAUUAGCUAGUUGGUAAGGUAACGGCUUACCAAGGCGACGAUGCGUAGCCGACGUGAGAGGGUGAUCGGCCACCUGAGAAGUGGACCACCGACAAGGCUCCUGCGGGAGGCAGCAGUAGGGAACCUUACGCAAUGGGCGAAAGUCUGGCGGAGCAACGCCACGUCAGAGAUAACAGUCUUCGGUUCGUAAUACUGUGUUAUUAGGGAAGAACAAAUGUGUAAGUAACUAUGCACGUAUUGACGGUACCUAGUAAGAAAGCCCCGGCUAACUACGUG